rnacentral:rRNA from 1 species
CAUGUCUUUUUGAAAAUAAUUUAAGGUCCGGCCUGCCCUCUGAUGAAAAUUGAAUGGCCGCGAUAAUUUGAUCGUGCAAAGGUAGCAUAAUAAUUAGUUUCUUGAUUAGGAACUGGAAUGAAAGGUUAAACGAAAAAAAAACUGUCUCGAUUUAAUUUUAAUUAGAAUUUUAUUUUUAAGUAAAAAAGCUUAAAUAAAUUUAAAAGACGAGAAGACCCUAUAGAGUUUUAUAUUUAUUAUUUAAUUUUUUAGUUUAAGAAUUUAAUUUUAAAAUUAUUUAUAUAAAUAUUUAAUUGGGGUGAUUGAAAAAUUGAAUAAACUUUUUUUAAAAAUUAAACAUUGAUGUAUGAUUAAAUGAUCCAUAAAUAAUGAUUAUAAGAUUAAAUUACCUUAGGGAUAACAGCGUAAUUUUUUUUGAGAGUUCUUAUCGAAAAA